UAACAUCUACAUGCUUCCACUGGCUCACAUUAUGGAAAACAACAAAAUAAGUUACCAUAGUUAUGCGGAUGACACACAAAUUUACAUAACCUCAUCGCCAGGGUACUAUAGUCCAAUACAACAACUGAAUAUGUGCAUUGAAUAAAUUAACGACUGGAUGUGCCUGAACUUUCUUAAAUUAAAUGAAGAAAAAACUGAGGUGGUUGUUUUUGGAGCAAAAGAGGAACAAUUAAAACUCAGCUUCAAACGACAAUGUUAUGGGUCAGUGUCUGUCUCCCUGUCCCAGCCUGUUUUCCUGUUCCCCUUUCCCUUGUGUGUGUGUGUGUGUUGUCUGUGUCUGUCUACAUGUCACUCAAGAGGAUCUAGGUCAAGGGGCGUGGCCACUCUCACCUGCUCUGCUCCAGCCAGCUGCAGAUCAUUCCAGUAAUCAACCAACACCCAGCUGCAGCUCAUUCCAGUACUCAACCAACAGUUAUCUACCCGGGCUGUUCACCUCUUCAGCGCCAGUUCGUUGCAACCAUUCCUGUGAUCCCGCCUCUGGACCUGCUGCUUUUCAGUUCUCAUCUGCCUCCUCGCUGCCUGCUCACCUCGCAACUCCGUUCUCAACCAGCCUUUCCACCCAGCUCUCGUCUUCGCUGCCUGGCCACACACCCGCCGUCUGAUCUCCAGCUUCGACUCCACCUGGAGCUGCUCUCCUGGCCAUUCCCUCCUGCACUAUCCACAUUGUGUCCAAUAAAACACUGCUAACCGCU